rnacentral:rRNA from 1 species
UACGGAGGGAGCUAGCGUUGUUCGGAAUCACUGGGCUUAAAGGGCGCGUAGGCGGGCUGUCAAGUCUGGGGUGAAAUGCCACGGCUCAACCGUGGAACUGCCUCAGAUACUGACGGCCUCGAGGAAGGUAGGGGCAUGCGGAACUGUAGGUGGAGCGGUGAAAUGCGUUGAUAUCUACAGGAACUCCGGUGGCGAAAGCGGCGUGCUGGACCUUUUCUGACGCUGAGGCGCGAAAGCUAGGGGAGCAAACGGG